rnacentral:lncRNA from 1 species
UGGGAUCGAUCCUUACUCGCUCUGUACUAAUUAUUUUAUAUUAGUGGUAAGGUUUUAAAUUUGGUGCACCUUAACGACACUACCAAAUUUUUGGCGCCGUUGCCGGGGACUAGCGUCUAGUUUGUUUAUUAUCACUCGUUUUAUUUUAUUAUUUUUAUUUUUAUUUCUUUUCUCAUUUUAUUUAUUUAUUUUAUUUUAAUUAGUUAUUUUUUGUUCUAUAUUUAGAUUUUCAUGAGCAUAGAGGACAUUCGAUUGAAACUCGAACAACUUAGAGCAACCUCAUCAUAUUCAGAACUCGAUUUUGCCAUCCACAUUCCACUCCCGA